CUGCGAAAAGUUCAGGGGAGCCGGUAACCAGGCUGUGAUCCUGAAAUGUCCGAAUGGGGAAACCCGGCCGUAAGGUCACUCUUACCUGAAUGCAUAGGGUAAGAGAGCGAACCUGGGGAACUGAAACAUCUAAGUACCCAGAGGAAAGGAAAUCAACCGAGACUCCGUGAGUAGCGGCGAGCGAAAGCGGAUUGCGACUUAAGUCAGUGAACGCGUUGGAAAG
rnacentral:rRNA from 10 species